AACGAACGCUGGCGGCAUGCCUAACACAUGCAAGUCGAACGAGACCUUCGGGUCUAGUGGCGCCCGGGUGCGUAACGCGUGGGAACCUGCCCUCAGGUUCGGCAUAACUCUCCGAAUGGGGUGCCAAUACCGGAUAAUGUCUUCGGCCCAAAGAUUUAUCGCCUAUUGAUGGGCGCGCGUUGGAUUAGCUAGUUGGUAGGCUAAAAGCCUACCAAGGCGACGAUCCAUAACUGGUCUAAGAGGAUGGUCAGCAAUACUGCGACUGAUACACGUCCCAGACUCCUACGGGUGGCAGCAGUGGGAAUAGUGGACAACGGGGGGAAGCCUGAUCCAGCAAGGCCGCGUGAGUUAUGAAGGCCGUAGGGUUGUAAAGCUCUUUUACCCGGGAUGAUAAUGACAGUACCGGGAGAAUAAGCCCCGGCUAACUCCGUG
rnacentral:rRNA from 1 species